UAACUGGAUCUCCUGUCUUACGCGCUACCUCUUUUGACUCAGGACCCUCGCAGGUGGGACAGACUGGAGGACCCACGCAAGGGGAGGGGCAGUGGGCGGCCCCCUGCAUCUCCAGGCCACGCCUUGGAAUGGGGUUGGCCCCGCCCAUUCCCAGGGCCUCUGGGAGGAAGAGGAGGAGGAGGCCCAGGACUGAGCGUCCACCGUGGUAAACAUCCUUCCCACGUUAUCUCGGAAUUUGCCAACCUACUUCCCUCAGGAAGCACCGUCUAGCAGCUUUGCAGGGAGUUUUGAAAACUCUAGAAACUCACAGGAAUUUCCCCAAGGCCUUACCACACCUGCCAGGGUCACGGGGAUGGAGACACCUCCGUGAAGCCAGGGCGCAGGCGUCUCCAGCCUGAAAAAAGGCAGUGUGAGUGUUUUGAGUCAUACCUACGUUGUUAAUGAUGGUCCUUAAUCACCGCGUGAACUUCUUUCAGGGCCCGGGUCACCUUGGGUAGAUAGCCUAAAUCUAAGCUAAUAUGCAUAUGAGCGCAUAUCAAACACCGUAAGCCCUGAAGGAAUCGAGCUCCGUUGUGAUUUUGGCUAGAGCUUCGCUGAGCUGGGUGAUAAGAGUUCCAUGCCUCCGUAUUACUCUGAGCACUGGGGUGAGAUGGGGUGUUCCAUGCUGCUGUGGUCACUUACGAUGCCUGAGCCUGUCCCUUCUGCUUUCAGAUCCACUGUGGAGGGGCCAGAGCACAUUUACAGAAGCCAUCUCUUUCUGGUUUCUUUCCUUCUUUUUAUUGAUUUUUAUUUUUUCCACUAUGGCUGGUUUACAGCGUUCUGUCAGUUUUCUCUGGCUUGUUUUGAUUGAACGUUUUGGAGUCAGGAUUCGAAGAGUGAUGCUUUUCUAAAGGGGAGCCUGUUUUGCCAUCCUGACCAGAGCCCCCAACUUCUUGAGUGGAUCGUAGCUCAAACCAGUGGAGUGAAAAUGAGCAGACAAGCAGGCACCUGGCUGCUCUUCCUCUUUGACACUUUCUGGCAAGUCCUCUUGCCUCUCAGCCUCCGUUUCCCCAUUGUUGUAGAAGCUGAAAUCAGCCUUUCCCACAGCCUCACCCUUGUUUUCUGCAAAUGCACGAGCUGGAUUAGCCUUCCGUGCUCUGAGCCCUCCAAUGGGCUGCACUGUGUGUUUCAGCUCUAACUGCUGGCAUUCUUCAGACAGUUCUGGACAAGCAGGGCCCACAGCCGUAGCUGGAGGUGAGAGGAGCAAGGCUGAUGGACCCUGCACAGGGCCAGCUCUUAGAUCCUCCAAAGAGAGCCUGGGGUGGGGGAAUGGCGACCCCAGCCAGGUAACUGUUUCAGCAUUACCUGAAAAGAUGUUACCUUGAUUUCCACACCAGCUGAGCUCUGGGAUAAUUAUAUUUUAAGCAACACGGAGCAUAAAACAGAUUCCCUUAGCAUCUGGAGAGCCAGUCGCACCCAGGCCUGCCCAGACUGGCCUUUCUCGUUGCAGGGUGUGGGAGAGCAGGGCUUCGCUGGUCCCUGGGGGCCUGCCCGGCCGGGAGCUGUUGCUCAGCUGUGGGAGGCACGCCAGUUCUCAGGUCUGUGAUGAGUGGUGUGGUGUCUGGCAAGGCCCUGGCCUGCGACUGAGUGUGACUAAUCAUGAAUCUUUUCAAUGACGCUGACACUUCAUCCUCUUUUCUCUCCUUCACCUGCUCUCUGGGCUGGAGUCGGCUGAUACAGGAGCAAAUUAGCCUCAUUCUGGAAAAGGCAGGGCAUGAUCUAGGACCCUGAAAGGUUCCUCGUGCUCCUGCCUGGAUGGUUUGCAGUCAGGGAAAUUAUCUGACUCAGGUGGGCUGACGGGGUAUUUUUUGUGGUUGUGCCUCCUGCUCGAUAGCAGGCAGCUUCUGAAGACAGGGCCCUGUCACCAUGGGCUAUUGACGAAUGGAGAUUUGACACCAGCCGAGGCAGUGUUGUUACUACUGCUCCCCGUAUGCUCCAGCCCAAACUGACAGCCCUCCCAUUUCCUCUUCAAAGACGACGUGUCACCAAGUAAUAUCGCCACCCACUCAAGGGGGACCUUAAUGCCCUGGACGCCUUAAUUGGGGGUGGAAGCCGAAAAGGGGGUGAUGACCUUUUAGCAGACUCAUCUCUCCCCCGCCACCCACUUCGUCGCUCGAUGAGUUUGGUGCUUCUAAGACCAGAGCUGAACUGUGUGUUCACUCACGGUGAAGGGAUGUGUGUGUGUGUGUGUCUCAGAAAUGUUGAUAAUAUCAUCUGUUCAUUGGUGAAUUAGAAGAAUUUCAGACUAGUAGGCAGGUUUUGCUGAUGUUGGAGCAAAAUUUUAGAAAGGGGUGGAAAUUGUCUGAGGGCUGCGGUGCCCUCCUCACAGCCUAGACUUCUGAGAAUGACUCCAAUACAGUUUUUUCAAAAUCAGGGCCAAAGGGUUUAAUGUUGAGAGACAAGAGCAAGUAAAGAAAAAGAGACUUGCAUCAGGAACUGGAAAACAUUAAGGCAGGUUUUUAACAUUUUUUAUUCCCUAAAAUAAACAUAUUGCCUAACUCAGCCUUCUUGUUAUCUUUCCUAUUGAAGCCAGUUCCUUCUUUCUCAGCUUUGUGGGACUACUACUAACUUUUGGGGAGAUCCGAGAUGCUAACUAGAGUUAUCAAAGCUGUAUCUUCCAAAUUAAAACUUGAGACAUGUGUUCCAACACACGUCAGUAUAUUUGCAGGAAUGAUAAGUGAGAGUAUUUAAAAUUAGAGUUUUCUUUGAACAUUCUGGCCACUGAACUUCCCUUUUAGUCUCUGAGCUCCUUGCAUGCAUAAGGUGUCAUGGAUUAUGAUUUCAUGUACGAGCUGUGACUGGUGACAGGAAAUAAGAUCUGGCCUUCAACCCUGUUUUAUGUGAUACAUGCAUUAUUUCAAAAUCCAGGAAAGUGCUCAUAAAUUUCUCCGUUUAUCUAGUUUCUCAUUAAAAAAUCCUAAAAUCUGACAUUGUUGAGUUCACAAGCCAGCAUGGUAACACUUUAUUGGAACUGAGUGGCUGCUGCUUUUUCAUAGAAUACUUUUCCACACUCCUCGCUGCUCCCUAUCGCUUCCCAUUAAGCCUCCUUUUCUUAUUUUCAGGCUCUCCCGGCCUCUCUAGGCAUUUGAAUUUGUGCUCGUUUUUCCGGUCAUACAACCCACUGGUGGUCAAGGUCAGAGAAGGGUUAGAACUCCUUGACCCUUGUCAAUUCAGGUCCCACCUCAUAGGGCUGGUCCUCAGCAUGCUAGUAGACAAAAUGUGACAUUCAAUACCUGAGGUGUUGAGAACCUCAAUGCCUUUGCUUCUUUGAUCAGAAAGGUCCCCAAAGAGGGAGUCAUCAUGGAUGAUUGGGGUCAUUCUCUGAUGAUAUGAAAUGUGAGACACAAACACAUUAUAUUUGUUCAUCACAUUUGGAACUAAUUUUGUAGUCACAGUAAUCAUUUUUAGAAGACUAGAUGGCUGGGUCGGGGGUGGGACUGGGAAAUAGGACAAUUAUUUGACUUCCAUAUAAUCCAUUGAUUAGUUAUGGUGUAAUAAGUAGAUUGGGGCUUCUGACAGUGUUUUGAGAUGGUUCAAUAGAGGAGAAGAAACAGGAGUUCUCAUUGUGACUCAUUGGGUUAAGGACCUGAUGUUUUCUCUUUGAGGAUGUGGGUUCAACCCCUGGCCUCACUCUGUGGGUUAAGAAUCUGGUGUUGCCACAAGCUAUGGCAUAGGUCACAGAUGUGGCUCGGAUCCAGCAUUGCCGUGGCUGUGGAGUAGGCCUGCAGUUGCAGGUCCAGUUCAGCUCCUGGCCCGGGAACUUCCAUAUGCCGCAGGUGCAGCCUUAAAAAAAAAUGGUGGAUAUAUACAUGUUCAGGAUUCAGAAUGGGGUCAGUCCAUCCUCAAGUGUGUGUGAGUAUAUAUGUGAGUUUGUGUGUAUGGGUGUGUGUGAGAGAGAUUGUCUCAGAUGAUUCUUAGAUCUAUUUGCCUGAGAACAAUAUUAUAGACUGUGUCUGUCAUUUCGCUGGGAAAACAUAACUCCCACCUAUAACUCAGGUUUUUAACAAAAUUCUACUGGAAAAUCAAAAUAGAAUUAAUGUGUACCCAGGAGGAUACAUUGGUGUUUGUGAAAGCCAUGACGUCAUUUAAGAGACUUGUAAGUGAGUAGCAGGUCAGUGGGAGCAAAAGUUCAUUCAUUUAUUCCUUUAUCAGCAGAUAUUACUAAGCUCCCACUUUAGGCCAAACCACAUGAAAUUGCCAACUUUGUAGUUUUUAAUCUAUCAAAACAGAAAUCUGAUGUGGUUCAACAUGAAAGUUAGUAAAUGCUACCUUAGAUACUGGGGAUACAAGAGUAAAAUGAGAACAGACAUGCAAAUAGCAGUGCAAGGAAGGGUUAUAAGUGCAGUGAUGGGAACUCGUAGAAAGACUAGGGAAGAGGGGCGUCAGUGUCGGGGUAGGAUUGGUGAAAGCCUUCAAAGUGAAGGCGAUGCUUAAAACGAAUCCUGAAAGAAAUCCCAAUAAUACAGAAACAUUUUUGCAUGUGAUGGAGAGUGUGUGUGGGCGUGGGUGGAGGUAGGGGUCAGCGUUCAGCCCCAAGGGAUGAGUGAAGCUGACACAGGCUGUGAGAUUCAUGGGUUGUGAGCAGCUUGGGCACAGCGCCAAGGUGGGCACUACCACUGCUGGGAAGGCUGGGGGGCUGGGGCCUCACAGACCAGGUUUGAACUUCUCAGGGUUGUCUUAGAGACGAAGAGCCCUGGAGCGUUUCCAGCUGGGCUGGGGCACGAUCUAACCAGUCUCUUAGGAAGGCCUUUACUCUUCUCAGCAUGUAGCGGGGGGGGCAGGUUGUGGACCAGGACCCCUACAGGGGCCACUGAUUGACUCGGACAAGAACCUAGUGCCUUAUUUUAUGGCAGAGGAAGCUGCAGGGGAGAGUCAUAGACUCUGCAGCAUAGAAGGGACUUGGGAGGCCGUUGGUAAUGAACGCAGAAACCUCUGCAGACAAUGCAGCCUUCUUUUUUCUCCUUAGUGUCCGCUCAUAUAAAUUGAGCAUUGCUAUUUCAGCCCUGUGCUAAGGAUCCUAGAUUCAUCUCAUGUUAUCCUCUCACAUCCCCGCAAAGCAGGUAUCAUUAUAUUACAAGUAUUGUGACAAUUCUCAUAUUUCAGGAGAGGAAACUGAGCAACAGAGAUGCUAAGUCAUCUGCCCUAAGUUACCCAGCAAGUAAGCAUUGGAGCUGGAAUCCAGCCCAAGGCAGUGUAGACAUAACAUUGUGCUAGUUGUGAAAUAACAGUGACGAGAAUGAGGACUCUGACUCUCCCUGCCACAUCUUCCGAGUGACCCCCAACCAACUCGCUUUCAGUCCUCCAAAUACAGUUUUCCCCUGCAAGUCUAGACCAGCGAACAGGACCCCAUUCAUACUCUCGCUCACGCACACUUUCACACGUGCACUCACAUCUGCACCUUGGAAGGAACCUGCCCCCAUUCUGACUCCUGAGCUUGUGCACACUCAGAAACACAGCAAAAAGGCAAUAAAAUGUGCUGCUGUUUCUCAAGCAAGUUGCCUGUUCAUAAAAUGGAACGUGAAUGUUGCCAUGACCUAAAUUCCAGGAAUAUUACAUAAAGGAGCCAGAUACCAUUUUGUACAGUGAUUGAUUCUCCUUGGAAGAACGGAAAUGGGUAAUUAUUCAUUGGCAUAGCCUCAGGGAACAUCAGGGGAAUUUUUUAAAAAGGAAAGAAAAUUACCAGCUAGACCCCUUGCUGCCCUUUGUCAAUUACCACCUUACCCCGAGGACCGUGGGAGUUGGUUUCCGGGUGUUCUCAGGGCUGCUCCUGCAGCAAGCGCCUGGUUCUGUCCCUUCCGGAAAGUGUCCAGAAGAUGCUCCUGCAGCGUGGCCUCCCUCCUGACCUCAGCAGAGCACUGACAUCCAGGCCCUGGAGUGUGAUUCCAGACACCCUGGGGUGGAAAAGGGAAGCAGUGGGGAUGUGCAGAUGCUGAAGGAGAACUGCCCUCAGGGGCCUGUGUCCCUCGUCUCUUCCCCCUCCCUCUUCCUAACCCAGACUCGAUCCCUGAUGGAUUGACAGGUGAUUUGAUAGAGAUGUUGUAGGGAAAGAAAAUGUGAAGAACAAAGACACGCCCAGACUGUGAUAACAGGCAAGUCCCUGCGUGUCACUGGUUUAACGCCGAGUUUAUUUUCUUUAAAGAUCAGUUUGAGGUGAAUCCUUUGCAAACAGUGUUCCCUGCGGUGUUUCAGGGCCCCGGGCUCUUUCUAUAUUUCGGUUUCCCCAGCCCCUGGUGCCUCAGCUGUUCACUUCCAGCCAGAGGAUGGAGGACGAGAGAGCACUUGGGAGGUUGCGGGCAAGUUGCCCUGGUCCAGGCCUGCGUGACAGGGUGACCUUGUCUUUCCACCUACACGCCUGUACCCAUAACUGAGCCAGCACGGACCACCUAAAUGCAAGGGCAGCCACUUCUUGACUCUAAACCCCGCUGUGCAGAGCAAAGCCUGCCCCUUAGGCAGGUAGCUGGUAUCUUUGCUACACCUGCCCACAUAUUACCAUAUAGCUAAUGAGCUUGAAAAGUUGUGUUGGAGGGUCCCCGCCCCCCUGUGACCCAGCCAUUUCAAAUGAUCAUCAACAGGCCACACAAUUUACAGCAGAACUCUAGUUUAUCCUGCGCGUCAAACAACUGAAAAGGAACUUUGUGAUUUUGCCGUUAAUUGUGAGAUUGCUAUAUAUUAUUUAUGGUAAACACCACCCUCUGUAUGCUGCUCUGCAGCUCUAAUUCAGCCCCUAGUCCAGGAACUUCCAUGUGCCUCACAUGUGGCC
rnacentral:lncRNA from 1 species